rnacentral:rRNA from 1 species
UACGUAGGGAGCAAGCGUUGUCCGGAAUCAUUGGGCGUAAAGCGCGUGUAGGCGGCUCGGUAAGUCCGCUCUGAAAGUCCAGGGCUCAACCCUGGGAUGCGGGUGGAUACUGCCGGGCUCGAGUCCGGAAGAGGCGAGUGGAAUUCCCGGUGUAGCGGUGGAAUGCGCAGAUAUCGGGAGGAACACCAAUGGCGAAGGCAGCUCGCUGGGACGUGACUGACGCUGAGACGCGAAAGCGUGGGGAGCAAACAGG